UCUCCGUAGGUGAACCUGCGGAGGGAUCAUUACUGAGUGAGGGCCUUCGGGCUCGACCUCCAACCCUUUGUGAACACAACUUGUUGCUUCGGGGGCGACCCUGCCGUUUCGACGGCGAGCGCCCCCGGAGGCCUUCAAACACUGCAUCUUUGCGUCGGAGCAUUGAAAGCAAAUCAAUCAAAACUUUGAACAACGGAUCUCUUGGUUCUGGCAUCGAUGAAGAACGCAGC
rnacentral:misc_RNA from 1 species